AUCGAACGCUGGCGGCAGGCCUAACACAUGCAAGUCGAGCGGGAGGCGGACGGGUGAGUAAUGUAUGGGGACUGCCCGAUGGGGGGGGAGAAAGACUGGAAUCGGUAGCCAAUAACUCAUACUAGCGGAUUAGCCAUAUGUGAGUAGCUAGUAGGGGGGGUAGGGGCCCACCUAGGCGACGAUCCCUAGAUGGCCUGAGAGGAUGAUCAGCCACCCUGGGACUGAGACACGGCCCAGAUCCCUGGGGAGGCAGCAGUGGUGAAUAUUGCACAAUGGGCGCAAGCCAUAUGCAGCCAUGCCGCGCGUAUGAAGAAGGCCCUAGGGUUGUAAAGUACUUUCAGUGGGGAGGCGUUACGUACAGAAGAAGCACCGGCCAACUCCGUGCCAGCAGCCGCGGUAAUAC
rnacentral:rRNA from 1 species